CUUCAUAAAUGACCUGGAAGAAUUGUUGGAUGGCCUGGAUGAUGAAUCCUUUGAGAAUUAUAAAAGUGGCUUAAUGGCAAAGCUGUUGGAGAAGGAUCCAUCUCUCACAUAUGAAAGCAAUAGACUGUGGAAUCAGAUUAUUGAUAAAAGAUGACAUUCGGGUUAGGAAUAUCGCGUGGUGAAUAUGAAGGAAGUUGCAGCUGUUAGUUAGUUAGUGAUCACUGAUCACAAAGAGAGAAAAUUUGGUAACAUG